UACGAAGGGGGCUAGCGUUGCUCGGAAUCACUGGGCGUAAAGCGCACGUAGGCGGACUCUUAAGUCGGUGGUGAAAUCCUGGAGCUCAACUCCAGAACUGCCUUCGAUACUGGGAGUCUCGAGUCCGGGAGAGGUGAGUGGAACUGCGAGUGUAGAGGUGAAACUCGUAGAUAUUCGCAAGAACACCAGUGGCGAAGGCGGCUCACUGGCCCGGUACUGACGCUGAGGUGCAAAAGCGUGGGGAGCAAACAGG
rnacentral:rRNA from 1 species